rnacentral:rRNA from 1 species
CUACGGGUGGCAGCAGUGAGGAAUAUUGCACAAUGGAGGAAACUCUGAUGCAGCAACGCCGCGUGGAGGAUGACGCAUUUCGGUGUGUAAACUCCUUUUAUAUGUCAAGAAAAUGACGGUAGCAUAUGAAUAAGCACCGGCUAACUCCGUGCCAGCAGCCGCGGUAAUACGGAGGGUGCAAGCGUUAGUCGGAAUCACUGGGCGUAAAGGACGCGUAGGCGGGUUGGAAAGUCAGGUGUGAAAUCCUACAGCUUAACUGUAGAACUGCACUUGAAACUUCUAAUCUAGAGUAUGGGAGGGGGAGAUGGAAUUAGUGGUGUAGGGGUAAAAUCCGUAGAUAUCACUAGGAAUACCUAAAGCGAAGGCGAUCUCCUGGAACAUUACUGACGCUAAGGCGUGAAAGCGUGGGGAGCAAACAGGAUUAGAUACCCCGGUAGUC